rnacentral:rRNA from 1 species
GACGAACCGUGCGAACGUUGUUCGGAUUCACUGGGCGUAAAGCGCACGUAGGCGGAUUCUUAAGUCAGGGGUGAAAUCCUGGAGCUCAACUCCAGAACUGCCUUUGAUACUGGGAGUCUCGAGUCCGGGAGAGGUGAGUGGAACUGCGAGUGUAGAGGUGAAAUUCGUAGAUAUUCGCAAGAACACCAGUGGCGAAGGCGGCUCACUGGCCCGGUACUGACGCUGAGGUGCGAAAGCGAUGGGGAG